UACGUAGGCAGCGAGCGUUGUUCGGAAUUACUGGGCGUAAAGAGUGUGUAGGCGGUGUUCCAAGUCUGGUGUGAAAUCUCCCGGCUCAACUGGGAGGGUGCGCCGGAAACUGGAAUGCUAGAGGGUGGGAGAGGUAAGCGGAAUUCCUGGUGUAGCGGUGAAAUGCGUAGAUAUCAGGAGGAACACCGGUGGCGAAGGCGGGUCUCUGGGCCGAAAUUGACGCUGAGGAGCGAAAGCGUGGGGAGCAAACAGG
rnacentral:rRNA from 1 species